CUUUGUCUUUAUGGCAAAUGUGAGAUGCAGUGUAUGGAAUGUCAAAUUUCUAGUAUGAGAAAUUAACGAUUUAAGUCCUUCUUAAAUGAGGCCAUUUACCCAUAGAGGGUGCCAGGCCCGUAUAACGUUAAUGAUUACUAGAUGGCAUUUCCAAAGAGUCGUGUUGCUUGAUAGUGCAGCACUAAGUUGGUGGUAAACUCCAUCUAAAACUAAAUAUAACCAUGAGACCGAUAGUAAACAAGUACCGUGAGGGAAAGUUGAAAAGAACUCUGAAUAGAGAGUUAAAUAGUACGUGAAACUGCUUAGAGGUUAAGCCCGAUGAACCUGAAUAUCCAUUAUAGAAAAUUCAUCAUUAUGAUUUUAAUAUUAAUAAUAUUAUAAUAAUGGUGUGCAUUUUUUCUAUAACGGACAUUGUAAUCUAUUAACAUAAACCAAAUUUAUCAUAAGAUCAAUGAUGCGUAAGUUUAUUCAAAUUAUUUUGCUUGCAAUUUAACAUAGAAUAAAUGCUCUUGAUUUGAUAAAGUGUUGAUAGAUUUAUUAUAUAUAGUGCUUAAAUAUUUAUAUUUUAUAAUAGCAUAUUAAUCAUUGAUUUUUAUGUUUAUUAUAUGCACUUAUAUGAUUAACAAUGCGAAAGAUUCAGGAUACCUUCGGGACCCGUCUUGAAACACGGACCAAGGAGUCUAACAUAUUUGCAAGUUAUUGGGUAUCAAAACCUAAUAGCGAAAUUAACAUAACUUUAAUAAUGGGAUUAGUUUUUAGAUUAUUUAUAGUCUAUUAAUUCAAUCCCGGGGCGUUCUAUAUAGUUAUGUAUAAUAAUAUUUAUAUUAUUUAUACCUCUAACUAGAGCGUACCUUGAGCAUAUAUGCUGUGACCCGAAAGAUGGUGAACUAUACUUGAUCAGGUUGAAGUCAGGGGAAACC
rnacentral:rRNA from 1 species